UACGAAGGGGGCUAGCGUUGCUCGGAAUCACUGGGCGUAAAGGGUGCGUAGGCGGGUCUUUUAAGUCAGGGGUGAAAUCCUGGAGCUCAACUCCAGAACUGCCUUUGAUACUGAAGAUCUUGAGUUCGGGGAGAGGUGAGUGGAACUGGCGAGUGUAGAGGUGAAAUUCGUAGAUAUUCGCAAGAACACCAGUGGCGAAGGCGGCUCACUGGCCCGAUACUGACGCUGAGGCACGAAAGCGUGGGGGAGCAAACAGG
rnacentral:rRNA from 1 species